rnacentral:rRNA from 1 species
GGGGAAUAUUGCACAAUGGGGGGAACCCUGAUGCAGCGACGCCGCGUGAGCGAAGAAGGUUUUCGAAUCGUAAAGCCCUGUCCUAUGAGAAGAUAAUGACGGUAUCAUAGGAGGAAGCCCCGGCUAAAUACGUGCCAGCAGCCGCGGUAAUACGUAUGGGGCGAGCGUUGUCCGGAAUUAUUGGGCGUAAAGGGUACGUAGGCGGCCUAUUAAGUCAGGUGUGAAAGCGUGAGGCUUAACCUCAUUAAGCACUUGAAACUGGAAGGCUUGAGUGAAGGAGAGGAAAGUGGAAUUCCUAGUGUAGCGGUGAAAUGCGUAGAUAUUAGGAGGAAUACCGGUGGCGAAGGCGACUUUCUGGACUUUUACUGACGCUCAGGUACGAAAGCGUGGGGAGCAAAC